rnacentral:rRNA from 1 species
UACGUAGGGAGCAAGCGUUGUCCGGAAUCAUUGGGCGUAAAGCGCGCGUAGGUGGCCUCGUAAGUCCGCUGUGAAAGUCAAAGGCUCAACCUUUGAAAGCCGGUGGAUACUGUGAGGCUAGAGCACGGAAGAGGCGAGUGGAAUUCCUGGUGUAGCGGCGGAAUGCGCAGAUAUCAGGAGGAACACCAAUAGCGAAGGCAGCUCGCUGGGACGUUACUGACGCUGAGACGCGAAAGCGUGGGGAGCAAACAGG